rnacentral:misc_RNA from 1 species
AUCCAUACUGUCCUAACAGGGUACUGUCCAUAAUACCAAAAAAAAAAAAAGUUAGCACUUGCACAUAGUCCCUCCGAAAUGAAAUUUUGACAAGAAAAAUCCUAAGCAUGGCAAGCAAAUAAGUCAACCUUGUUGCCUUUUAUCCAUCCCAUUCUAUCAUUGAGAAGAAUUAGUAGCCCAGUUGAAAAUGGCACGAAUUGAAGCAACAACUAACUAGAAUGCAAAUUGUAAUAGCAUUAGGAUCAUUUAAACAUGUAGACGUGAAUCACAGUACAUCCUAAUGCAUCAACGCAAUCACUUAUCAGAGUCAGACCCUAGAAACAAACACACGUUUCAUUGAAACUGAGUCUUUAAGGAACUGUUAUAUCCAAAACAAAUGGUAUAUAAAUAAAACAAGUUAUCAUUAUCCAUGGUAAAAAUACUUUCCCAUUACUACAGAAAGCGAGGGAGGGAUAUAUCAUAUAUCUUGCAUUCAAAAGCAAUUUAGUAGCUCAAAAUGCUAAAAAAUAACAAAGCUAAAGCAGUCAUAAAAAGAGUAAGAGAGCAAUUGAAAGCACCUAUAAAACACUAACCAAACAAUAUCAAAAGAAAGAGAACAUCAAAAUAAAAUUCUGCGGUGCCAAACAAAAGCAAACGCUCUAAAUCCAAAAUCGAACUCUGCUUCUCCAAUAAUCAAAAUUAAAACUCUCUAUCUCUCCGUCGACCGAGGUUUCUACAAACACGCAGAUCAAAUCGAGAAUGCACAAUUUUCAGCAAGCCAUUAAAAUUGGAUUUCAACGUAAACCCUAGACAAACAACAUAUACGCACUAAAACAGAAACUAAGAAAGUAAUUGAUUGAAGGUAAUGCGGAAUCGAGAAAGAGAUUACAAAGUGAAAUUAAUUACCCUUUAAAACAGAUGAAGUUCGAA